rnacentral:pre_miRNA from 1 species
AAACUACUCCCUCUGUCCAACAAAAGAUGUCUCAAGUUUGUCAAAAUUUGGAUGUAUCUAGACAUGACUUAGUAUAUAGAUGCAUGAGACAUCCUUUGUUGGACAGAGGGAGUAUUAA